AGCAGCCGCGGUAAUUCCAGCUCCAAUAGCGUAUAUUAAAGUUGUUGCAGUUAAAAAGCUCGUAGUUGAAUUUCGGAAUUUGUCGGUUGGUCGGGCUUCACUGUCCGCACUGGCCUGAUGAAUUCCUACCUUCUGAAUAACCAGCAUGCUAUUAAUUUAGUGCGUUGGGGAAGCAGAGCUAUUACCUUGAGAAAAUUAGAGUGCUUAAAGCAGGCUCACGCUUGAAUAGAUUAGCAUGGAAUAAUAAAAUAGGACGGCUUGGUUCUAUUUUGUUGGUUUCUAGGAUCACCGUAAUGAUUAAUAGGGAUAGUUGGGGGCAUUAGUAUUCAAUUGUCAGAGGUGAAAUUCUUGGAUUUAUUGAAGACUAACUUCUGCGAAAGCAUUUGCCAAGGAUGUUUUCAUUAAUCAAGAACGAAAGUUAGGGGAUCGAAGACGAUCAGAUACCGUCGUAGUCUUAACCAUAAACUAUGCCGACUAGGGAUCGGAC
rnacentral:rRNA from 1 species